UACGUAGGGUGCAAGCGUUGUCCGGAAUUAUUGGGCGUAAAGAGCUCGUAGGCGGUUUGUUGCGUCGGCUGUGAAAUCCCGAGGCUCAACCUCGGGUCUGCAGUCGAUACGAGCAAACUAGAGUGUUGCAGGGGAGACUGGAAUUCCCAGUGUAGCGGUGAAAUGCGCAGAUAUUGGGAAGAACACCAGUGGCGAAGGCGGUUCUCUGGGACGGUACUGACGCUGAGACGCGAAAGCGUGGGGAGCGAACAGG
rnacentral:rRNA from 1 species